UAUAUCCACGACAGCGUCAGUGUAAAACAAGGGUGUUACCAGAUUUCACACUGAGCGGUGUAAAUCAAGCCACGCCUCCACUAAACAUUUCCUGUCAGGGAUUUUACCGCCAUUUUCUUUCAAAGGAGGACUGAAGAGAGCAGAUGCUAGUUUGGUGAAAGUACACACUGAGUGCUUCAAAUCAUUCAGAAGAGAUGCUGUUUUUAUGGCAGUUUAUUAAAGAAGACCUGACAUGGAUGACUUCCAAUGAGAAACGACUGCUGAUACUUAUAUAAAUUCAUUACAGAAGGACCCUACCAGACUAUAUUUGAAUACGGCAUACCUGUGAAUUCUGGAACUGUUAUUCCUUAACCCAGUUUGGAGGAUAAGAGCUUACCAACUAUAAAUAUGCUGAGGUGAUGUAUUGCAAAAUAGCCAACAUACAACAAUUAAAGGAUAAUUGCAGCCUAUAUCCUGAUGAAGAUAUGGAUGACCCUCUGUCUGGUCAACAGGAGUUUAAAUAUGGACGGGACAGUUAUGUGGCAGCUCUUCCCUGACUCAUUCACCUCUUGCCUUUAUUUGUGAAAGGAGGAAAGACUGGAGAGGGUCAAUGUGCAACUGAAGCUACUGAUUGUGCUGUGUGAUGAGCAUCAAUCCAUGCUUUGAGGGGGAUGAAUCAGCACAGCCCUGCCUGCUCUGCGUUGGGAACAAAAGUUGCAUCCAGAAUUUUUGCAUCAUUCUGGACCAAAAAGCCAUUCCCUCCAUGAUGAAGACCACUGAUGCAGCCUCCCACUACUGUACAGUAAAACAACUACAGAACUAAAUACCAGGUUGGAACGUGUUUAAGAAAAAUGAAACGUCUUUUGAAUUGAAAUGUCUGUUUUGUUAUGGAAAAAUCUUUAGUAUUGUGAAGGAUAAGCAUUUCUGCUUGCCGAUAAGGUAAUUGCAUGUAUUUUAAUGUUCAAGUUUUGAGUAGGGUGGCUAAUUUUUUUAACUCUUAUUUGAUUUAUUAAAGACCUUAUAAUAAGUGGUUUUCAUGUCACUGCGCUGUGGUAUAAGAUAACUUUCAUUAUUCCAUACUGUAUUCUGUUUCUAAUUGUAGCUGAGGUAUUUAAAUAAGCAGUGUUAAAUGCAAAGUGUUGUGUGUAUCAAUGUAAAUAUUAAAUGUGAUUUACUUUAAUAAAAAGAGGUUUUGCAAUA